GACGAACGCUGGCGGCGUGCUUAACACAUGCAAGUCGAGCGGUAAGGCCCUUUCGGGGGGUACACGAGCGGCGAACGGGUGAGUAACACGUGGGUGACCUGCCUUUAGCUCUGGGAUAAGCCUGGGAAACUGGGUCUAAUACCGGAUACGACUCCGCGGUGCAUGCUGUGGGGUGGAAAGCCUUGUGCGGCUGGAGAUGGGCCCGCGGCCUAUCAGCUUGUUGGUGGGGUGAUGGCCUACCAAGGCGACGACGGGUAGCCGGCCUGAGAGGGCGACCGGCCACACUGGGACUGAGACACGGCCCAGACUCCUACGGGAGGCAGCAGUGGGGAAUCUUGCGCAAUGGGCGAAAAGCCUGACGCAGCGACGCCGCGUGAGGGAUGACGGCCU
rnacentral:rRNA from 1 species